rnacentral:rRNA from 1 species
UACGUAGGGUGCAAGCGUUAAUCGGAAUUACUGGGCGUAAAGCGUGCGCAGGCGGUCUUGCAAGACAGAUGUGAAAUCCCCAGGCUUAACCUGGGAACUGCAUUUGUGACUGCAAGGCUGGAGUGCGGCAGAGGGGGAUGGAAUUCCGCGUGUAGCAGUGAAAUGCGUAGAUAUGCGGAGGAACACCGAUGGCGAAGGCAAUCCCCUGGGCCUGCACUGACGCUCAUGCACGAAAGCGUGGGGAGCAAACAGG